AACGAACGCUGGCGGCAUGCCUAACACAUGCAAGUCGAACGAGACCUUCGGGUCUAGUGGCGCACGGGUGCGUAACGCGUGGGAACCUGCCCUUAGGUUCGGAAUAACUCCCCGAAAGGGGUGCUAAUACCGGAUAAUGUCUUCGGACCAAAGAUUUAUCGCCUUUGGAUUGGCCCGCGUUGGAUUAGCUAGUUGGUAGGGUAAAAGCCUACCAAGGCGACGAUCCAUAGCUGGUCUGAGAGGAUGAUCAGCCACACUGGGACUGAGACACGGCCCAGACUCCUACGGGAGGCAGCAGUGGGGAAUAUUGGACAAUGGGCGAAAGCCUGAUCCAGCAAUGCCGCGUGAGUGAUGAAGGCCUUAGGGUUGUAAAGCUCUUUUACCCGGGAUGAUAAUGACAGUACCGGGAGAAUAAGCUCCGGCUAACUCCGU
rnacentral:rRNA from 1 species